rnacentral:misc_RNA from 1 species
GGUGGAUUGACCAGCGGAAGAUCCAGUUGCUGCCCGAAUUCGCUCGACUAAGCGAGGCAUCCAAAUAUAGCGCAUGGCGUCUCUGAAUUGUUUACUAUUAACGUCACAUUUCAGCUGCUUUGCCUGCUUUUGAACUCUGGUUCUCCAAUAGUUCUUGAUUUCGUUGUCUGUUCUGCCAGGCAAGUACUGCGCAAUUUUCGACCACCUAUUGCCCCAGCGAGAAUGGAGUUCAAGAAUCAAGAGCUGUUCUUGGAGAGUUAUGUUCCCACGUCGAACAUCUGGCCGCAAGUAGUUUAACCAUCUUAAUCUACAGCUUUU